rnacentral:rRNA from 1 species
UGGGAGUGGCGCACGGGUGCGUAACGCGUAUGCAAUCUGUUUCCUACAGGGGGAUAACUACUUGAAAGGGUGGCUAAUACCGCGUAAUAAGUGAAGGGGCAUCCCUUUAUUUUAAAAGAUUUAUUGGUAGGAACUGAGCAUGCGUGCCAUUAGCUAGUUGGUGAGGUAACGGCUCACCAAGGCUACGAUGGCUAGGGGGUCUGAGAGGAUGGUCCCCCACACUGGUACUGAGAUACGGACCAGACUCCUACGGGAGGCAGCAGUAAGGAAUAUUGGUCAAUGGACGGAAGUCUGAACCAGCCAUGCCGCGUGAAGGAUGAAGGUGUUCUACAUCGUAAACUUCUUUUUCCGGGGAAGAAAACGCUCUUGCGAGAGUUAUUGACGGUACUCGGAGAAUAAGCAUCGGCUAACUACGUGCCAGCAGCCGCGGUAAUACGUAGGAUGCGAGCGUUAUCCGGAUUUAUUGGGUUUAAAGGGUGCGUAGGCGGCUAUAUAAGUCGUGGGUGAAAGUCAGACGCUUAACGUCUGGAUUGCCUGCGAUACUGUGUGGCUUGAAUUCGGCGGAGGUAACUGGAAUGUCAGGUGUAGCGGUGAAAUGCAUAGAUACCUGAUAGAACGCCCAUUGCGUAGGCAGGUUACUGUACCGAUAUUGACGCUGAGGCACGAAAGCGUG